AAUUCUCAAAAUCCUUUUCUUUGAUCGGAAUAGGACUUUUGGACUUGGAGGUUCAAUGCUCGCUUUCGCCUUUGAAAGCGAGCUCCUCUCAAAUGAAUCAGUGGGGUCCGCUUUGCUGGUCCUUGACGUGAUAAGAUGCUUCUACGUUUUGGAUUUGGCAUUGUUUUCUCCGCUCCUAACUGUCCCCAUGGGACAACGAUGGUGCUUCGGUCGUCGCCAUCUAUGGCGGGAGGCUGAACCCACAAAGAA
rnacentral:misc_RNA from 1 species